UUGAGAUACUUCCAAUGGAGAUGC
rnacentral:siRNA from 1 species